GCAUUCCUGGGGGACUGCCGGGUAGCCGCUGCUGCUGGCUAACUCGGCUGCUCCCAAAG
rnacentral:miRNA from 14 species